AUUGAACGCUGGCGGCAUGCCUUACACAUGCAAGUCGAACGGCAGCAUGAUCUAGCUUGCUAGAUUGAUGGCGAGUGGCGAACGGGUGAGUAAUACAUCGGAACGUGCCCUGUAGUGGGGGAUAACUAGUCGAAAGAUUAGCUAAUACCGCAUACGACCUGAGGGUGAAAGUGGGGGACCGCAAGGCCUCAUGCUAUAGGAGCGGCCGAUGUCUGAUUAGCUAGUUGGUGAGGUAAAGGCUCACCAAGGCGACGAUCAGUAGCUGGUCUGAGAGGACGAUCAGCCACACUGGGACUGAGACACGGCCCAGACUCCUACGGGAGGCAGCAGUGGGGAAUUUUGGACAAUGGGCGAAAGCCUGAUCCAGCAAUGCCGCGUGUGUGAAGAAGGCCUUCGGGUUGUAAAGCACUUUUGUCCGGAAAGAAAUGGCUCUGGUUAAUACCUGGGGUCGAUGACGGUACCGGAAGAAUAAGGACCGGCUAACUACGUGCCAGCAGCCGCGGUAAUACGUAGGGUCCAAGCGUUAAUCGGAAUUACUGGGCGUAAAGCGUGCGCAGGCGGUUGUGCAAGACCGAUGUGAAAUCCCCGAGCUUAACUUGGGAAUUGCAUUGGUGACUGCACGGCUAGAGUGUGUCAGAGGGGGGUAGAAUUCCACGUGUAGCAGUGAAAUGCGUAGAGAUGUGGAGGAAUACCGAUGGCGAAGGCAGCCCCCUGGGAUAACACUGACGCUCAUGCACGAAAGCGUGGGGAGCAAACAGG
rnacentral:rRNA from 2 species